rnacentral:rRNA from 1 species
UAAGCCAUGGCGAGUAGAAAGAAUUUAGAUUCUUUGCAACUGGCUCAGUAACACGUGGAUAACCUCGCCCUAUGCUCUGGAAUAACCUCGGGAAACUGAGAAUAAUACCGGAUAGAUCACAACGCCUGGAACGGUGUGUGGUUGAAAGAUUACGGCAUAGGAUGGGUCUGCGGCGUAUCAGGUUGUAGGGGGUGUAACGGACCUCCUAGCCAUCGACGCGUACGGGUGUUGGGAGACAUAGCCCGGAGAUGGAUUCUGAGACACGAAUCCAGACCCUACGGGGUGCAGCAGGCGCGAAAACUUCACACUGCAGGAAACUGUGAUGAGGGAACUCCAAGUGCGUGCACUUAGUGUGCGCUUUUCUUGACUAUUAAUCGGUCAUGGAAUAAGGGCUGGGAAAGACCGGUGCCAGCCGCCGCGGUAAUACCGGCAGCUCAAGUGGUCGUCGCUUUUAUUGGGCCUAAAACGUCCGUAGCCUGUUUGGUAAAUCUGUGGGUAAAUCAACCAGCUUAACUGGUUGAAUUCUGCAGAGACUGCCAGACUAGGGACCGGGAGAGGUGUGGGGUACUCUAGGGGUAGGGGUAAAAUCCUGUCAUCCUUAGAGGACCACCAGUUGCGAAGGCGCCACACUGGAACGGAUUCGACGGUCAGGGACGAAGCCUAGGGCACGAACCGGAUUAGAUACCGGGUAGUCCUAAGUGUAACGCUGUGAACUUGUGUCGGGAUCCGUAUGGUCUCGUGCGGAGUGAGAUGUAGUUCACUGCCUGGGAGUACGGUCGCAGCUGAA